ensembl:lncRNA
GUCUGUGGGAAGAGAGAAGUUUCUGCUCUUAGCUGCGCCCCUACCCCCUUCCUCCCAGGAAUGUUGGAGGCAGCCACGAUCUCAUCAAGAGAAGGUUACUUGACUGGGAGUUCUCAGACCUCCAGUUUCAGCCCUGCCCUCAGCCUCCAGUCGUUGAGAGAGAGACACCCAGCCCCAGCAAUCGGAUUGGGCAGCCCGCCUUGACACACCACUGUGCUGAGUGCUUGAAGACGUGUUUCACCAGAUGGUUGGGGUUAGCGUGUGUCAUCACAUUCGAGUGGGGAUUAGGAGUAGGAAGGCUGCCUUGCCGGAGCUGUGUGGUCUUCUCCAAGGGAGAAUUGCGGGCAAGAGAACUCCUUUGCUCCGGGGAGAAGAGGAGGAAUUCGUUUUCCGCAGCCACGAGAAAAGCAGUGUUUUCAGUGUUCAGAUACCUGUGGUGCUUAAGAAUUCCUGCUCCUAUUGGACUUUCAAACUGAGUAGAGAAACCCAACACCCUCACCCUUGACAGGAAUCCAGAGAGCAGGAAUUCUGAUACUGAGUACUGAGAUUUUACCAACUGUUGCCAUGUGGAUGAGGCCAACCAAUGGGUCAGCCAAACUGCCAUCAAAUCCCGUGAGUCCUUCCUGUAAAGCAUCACUCACAUCUGGCCCACAGCUACUGCUCCAGUGCAAUGAUCCCUCACACGUGGGUCAUUACAACAACCUCCUAACGGGUCCUCUUGCCUCCACUUCCCUUCUGUCCACCAGUUGUCGUUGAGC